UGUGAACUCGAAGAGUAGGGCGGGACACGUGGUAUCCUGUCUGAAUAUGGGGGGACCAUCCUCCAAGGCUAAAUACUCCUGACUGACCGAUAGUGAACCAGUACCGUGAGGGAAAGGCGAAAAGAACCCCGGCGAGGGGAGUGAAAAAGAACCUGAAACCGUGUACGUACAAGCAGUGGGAGCACCUUCGGGUGUGACUGCGUACCUUUUGUAUAAUGGGUCAGCGACUUAUAUUCUGUAGCAAGGUUAACCGUAUAGGGGAGCCGCAGGGAAACCGAGUCUUAACUGGGCGUUAAGUUGCAGGGUAUAGACCCGAAACCCGGUGAUCUAGCCAUGGGCAGGUUGAAGGUUGGGUAACACUAACUGGAGGACCGAACCGACUAAUGUUGAAAAAUUAGCGGAUGACUUGUGGCUGGGGGUGAAAGGCCAAUCAAACCGGGAGAUAGCUGGUUCUCCCCGAAAGCUAUUUAGGUAGCGCCUCGUGAAUUCAUCUUCGGGGGUAGAGCACUGUUUCGGCUAGGGGGUCAUCCCGACUUACCAACCCGAUGCAAACUACGAAUACCGAAGAAUGUUAUCACGGGAGACACACGGCGGGUGCUAACGUCCGUCGUGAAGAGGGAAACAACCCAGACCGCCAGCUAAGGUCCCAAAGUCAUGGUUAAGUGGGAAACGAUGUGGGAAGGCACAGACAGCCAGGAUGUUGGCUUAGAAGCAGCCAUCAUUUAAAGAAAGCGUAAUAGCUCACUGGUCGAGUCGGCCUGCGCGGAAGAUGUAACGGGGCUAAACCAUGCACCGAAGCUGCGGCAGCGACACUAUGUGUUGUUGGGUAGGGGAGCGUUCUGUAAGCCUGCGAAGGUGACCUGUGAGGGUUGCUGGAGGUAUCAGAAGUGCGAAUGCUGACAUAAGUAACGAUAAAGCGGGUGAAAAGCCCGCUCGCCGGAAGACCAAGGGUUCCUGUCCAACGUUAAUCGGGGCAGGGUGAGUCGACCCCUAAGGCGAGGCCGAAAGGCGUAGUCGAUGGGAAACAGGUUAAUAUUCCUGUACUUGGUGUUACUGCGAAGGGGGGACGGAGAAGGCUAUGUUAGCCGGGCGACGGUUGUCCCGGUUUAAGCAUGUAGGCUGGUUAUCCAGGCAAAUCCGGAUAAUCAAGGCUGAGGUGUGAUGACGAGGCACUACGGUGCUGAAGUAACAAAUGCCCUGCUUCCAGGAAAAGCCUCUAAGCAUCAGGUAACAU
rnacentral:rRNA from 1 species